rnacentral:rRNA from 1 species
GCCAGGGGGGGGUGCUUACACAUGCAGUCGAACGAUGAAGCCCAGCUUGCUGGGUGGAAGAGUGGCGAACGGGUGAGUAACACGUGAGUAACCUGCCCUUCACUCUGGGAUAAGCGCUGGAAACGGCGUCUAAUACUGGAUACGACCCUUACAGGCAUCUGUUGGGGGUGGAAAGAUUUAUCGGUGAAGGAUGGGCUCGCGGCCUAUCAGGUAGUUGGUGAGGUAACGGCUCACCAAGCCGACGACGGGUAGCCGGCCUGAGAGGGUGACCGGCCACACUGGGACUGAGACACGGCCCAGACUCCUACGGGAGGCAGCAGUGGGGAAUAUUGCACAAUGGGCGAAAGCCUGAUGCAGCAACGCCGCGUGAGGGAUGACGGCCUUCGGGUUGUAAACCUCUUUUAGUAGGGAAGAAGCGAAAGUGACGGUACCUGCAGAAAAAGCACCGGCUAACUACGUGCCAGCAGCCGCGGUAAUACGUAGGGUGCAAGCGUUGUCCGGAAUUAUUGGGCGUAAAGAGCUCGUAGGCGGCUUGUCGCGUCUGCUGUGAAAACCCGGAGCUCAACUCCGGGCCUGCAGUGGGUACGGGCAGGCUAGAGUGCGGUAGGGGAGAUUGGAAUUCCUGGUGUAGCGGUGGAAUGCGCAGAUAUCAGGAGGAACACCGAUGGCGAAGGCAGAUCUCUGGGCCGCUACUGACGCUGAGGAGCGAAAGCAUGGGGAGCGAACAGGAUUAGAUACCCUGGUAGUCCAUGCCGUAAACGUUGAGAACUAGAUGUAGGGCCUGUUCCACGGGUUCUGUGUCGUAGCUAACGCAUUAAGUUCCCCGCCUGGGGAGUACGGCCGCAAGGCUAAAACUCAAAGGAAUUGACGGGGGCCCGCACAAGCGGCGGAGCAUGCGGAUUAAUUCGAUGCAACGCGAAGAACCUUACCAAGGCUUGACAUAUAGAAAAACACUGCAGAGAUGCAGGACUCUUUGGACACUUCUAUACGGGUGGUUGCAUGGUUGUCGUCAGCUCGUGUCGUGAGAUGUUCGGUUAAGUCCGGCAACGAGCCCAACCCUCGUCCUAUGUUGC